UUCUUAUAACCCAAUUUAAUUUACGCUGUUGAUAUACAAAUAAAUAGUUUUGACUUCUCAAAAACGUAUAUGUAUUAUGGCUUUUAUAACCCAUAUAAACUUUACAUUACCUACAACUAACAUUAAGGGAACUGUUUCCCAACCAAAAAGAAAAACAAAAAUCGACCCACGUAAAGGUUACUGAGAGGGAAACAGGAUAUAAAAAAAAAGGAGGUGUAUUGUUCAGAGUCCUUUAAUAAUACCAAAAUGAAAAUAUGAUGUCAAGAUUUUCUUCAUACAGAUAAACGCAUUUAAUUUCUUUAGAUGACCUUAAUUUACGUGUUUGAGUGAAAUGAUAACUCAACAUUUUAAAUAUCUUUUACAUAUAUACUGACUUUCACAAAGUGCAUCAGAAAAUUAAAAAAGAAAACUCCCUGAAUUUCAGGAAUUCACCAAAAAAAAACCCCACCUCUAUUCGAAUGAACAUUUACAAGAAAAUAAAAGAGAACACAAUCUUUUGAACCCUAUUUAUACAGAUGUUAUGAAAUACAGAGAAACUGUCGCUAGACUUCCAGUUUAAUUUCUCACCUUAAGCCUUUUUUGAUGCUUCCUUUUUAGGAAAAACAGUCUCAUUGUAAGUAGAUAUCAAGCAGGACUUGGAGCAUUUUAUGUAUAAUAUAAUCCACACAAAGGGUCUUUUUUAUAGGUCCUGUUUGUUUUCAAAUGUUCUGACAGUCCUGUGCUGGGUGGUGGCUAGUUUUUUUGAGAAAAAGACAGAGAAGGGUAGAGGAGGGAGGAGGGCAGGGGGAGGAGAGGAAGGAGCCUCUGUGUAUUGCUCUUCGCUCGAGAAGUUUGUGCGAGUGGUGUGUGUGCGCGCGCGCGAGUGUGGGUCUGCGGUGCGUGUGCGUGCGUGUGUCUGUGUGCAGUUUCCGAAGAAGGUGUUUGUGGCUCAGGACGGUUCGCUUUUGUUUCUGGACCACGCGUUGGAUCCUCCUCCUCCUGGUGCAGACAGCGAAGGGAGCUCCCGGCGCAGCGGGCGAGCCUCGCUCCCAGCUCGGGCCUGGGGGCGCUGCUGGCCCCCGCCCUCCCGCUUCCCGC
rnacentral:lncRNA from 1 species